CAAUAAACUGGGGAGAUCCACUCGAGGUUACAAUGUGGCUGAAGAGGCCAAUUUUGGAUGCAGAGACUCGGCAGAUGAGGCAAAGGAGGAAAAGGCACCAGGACUGCAGUUUACCUUUCUUGUGGUAAUGGUAGCUGUAUAUCGAGUGGAGUGCCCUGUCGUGGAUAGCUCCUCUAAAUGCUCAAGGAUGCUCUCAUCAGCCAAGUCGAAAGGAGUCUGUCCCUGCAAAUAGGAUGUGAACAACUUCACCCAGAUGCAGCGCACAACAGGCCCUUCCUGCCCACCGACCUGCACUGUCCAAUGACCCACUAAUUUAACCCCUAGCCUAAUCAUAGGACCAAUUACACUGACUAAUUAACCUACUAAACAGUGUAUCUCUGGACAGUAGGAGAAUACUGGAGCUCCUGGAGGAAACAUACGCACACAGUAAGAACAUACUGUUAUGAAGGUACCCCAGCUCUGAGAGGCCCGAAGGAGUGGGAGCAGCCCCCUCCUUCCGGAGAAUCGCAAGAUCGCUAUUAAUUCGGGACUCGGAAGUGAGAGACAAUGCAACGGUUUUGACCAUUUGUUCUUAGAGGCACCUGUGUCACGUGCAAGUCCCGGCUACGUGACAACUACCAUGAACCUGAACACCCUCGGGCCAUGUGGGGGUGGAGAUUGCAUCCCCCAACUUUGAUGGACAGCUACAACUCUGCAAGUAAAAAUAAAAGCGGACUGCAGGAGGCAGUACCCCAGCGAUGCACCAGAGGAACUUGCUCGCUCAACGUUCCCGGGAGAGCUGGAAGCCACUCAACGCCACGUGUGCUCCUAACUCCUUUGCCUGGGGAGCGGGUGGCUGAUACUACCGAGAAGGACUUCGAACUAACAACGGGGAAACCAACGCUCCCCUGAUUUUAACGGAGUGGUCAAAAAGAUACGGGCAAGUCUUCUUUUAGUUCUCACCGAUCCCUCUAAGACACGUGUAACCAACAAUUCCUCGAAAGACUUCUGAAUGACUCUUUAGAUUUCCAAUGGACAAAAAUAUUAUCCCCUAGACAACAGCCGAGAUUAAUGAUGAUUAUGACUAUACCCUGGCUUUAGAUUGUGUAUUGGUGAUGUGCAUUAUCUGAAUGUUUGCAUUAACCUUACUUU